UAAAAAAGCGGUGAUUACUAGCAGUUUUUCCUUGCGUCAAAAUCUGCUCGUAGAAAAAUCUACAAAUAAAUCAAAAAAUAAGGUUACUUUUGUGGGUCGACCAAAAAAUCGCACGGUCAUUAAGUGAUGAAAAUAAAGACAACAAAAACGCCAAUUUAAUUUCGUACGCCAAAAGAUUUUUAAGCAUCUAAAUUGUGAACAUACGAGGUUAGGUAAGGGUGGCAUUUUGUGAUACCACAAUAGCGACAGACCAAGGCUUCUGGCGGCAAUCGAACCCACGACCCCUGCACUGUUAAUCCAAGCACGCUACCAACUCGGCUACCGGGGCGCCCUUCUUCCUAACAAACUAAAUUGCCAUUUUUUAUACCCACCACCAUAGGAUAGUACAAUGAAAACAUUUAUGGAUGGAACCCGACUUCGUUCAUAUGGCCACCGUGGGCACGUUUGCAUCUAUCAAUGCGUUGGAUCCAAUUUUCAAUGAUUCGGCCACACAUUUAUUUUUUGUUAUUUUCCGUUCAAUACUGGCUCUGAGCCUUUCCGACGUCGCACAAUGGCGCGGCCAGAGGAAACAGGUGGAAAAAUCAAGUUCAAUGCGCCUACGAAAUUUUUAAAGAAUCUAUUUUAUGUAAAACAUUACAAAAAUUUCAAAAAUGUGAUCCACACAAAUUUCAGUUUAGGAGAUAUGACCGUUCAAAGUUGACGUAUUUUCGAUCU